CUGCUUCAGGUGUCUCGGGACACAGCGCAGCUGCUUUGCGAGCAGUCCUGCCAACCGCAGGGAUUCCGGGGAAAGCCGCGGCUGCAAAAACGGCCGGUUCACUGGCGCGGGACGCACGGCCCGUGGCGGCAUCUCAGGACUCGGGAGGCUUCGAGGUCCCCCCGGUUCACGGUCCUCAGCACGCAGGGGAGGGUGGCCUCAGGAGGCACUUGGGUGGGACGGGCGUGGGUAGUGUUUGGUUUGGGGCCUCAACGACUCUCCUGAGUUCUCGGUCCUGGAAAAAAAGGCUCCGACCUUCAGAAUUCUGAUUUCAGCGGCCUUGCUUAGCUCAAAUAUGCCUUUGUUUUAGCCUGGAUCCGGAGCUCGUCAUUGACUUCAGGGCACCCGGGGCGUUUCCCUGAGAUGCCGAUGUUGGCCGAGGACCUGCGACAGAAGCCCUGUUGCAUCCAGCACACGGCGCCUGGGGUCCUGGGCCGAACUCAGCUGUUACGGACCGGGCGGGACCGAAGUGCGGCCCCACAUUCUCUUGCUGAAACCCUAGCCCUCAGCGUGGCAGAUCUGGAGCUCUGAGGACAGUCCAGGCAGCAAGAAGGGGGCCAUCUGCAAACCAGGACAACUUUCACCAAAAUCCAACCAUGCCGACACCUAGACCUUGGACUUCCAGCCUCCAGAACUGCGAGAAAAUAAAUU